GUGAAUCUUUUUUCUUCCUGGACACAACUAAAGUGAACUUCGUUCCUGUCUGAUAUUUCUCCAGCUUCAAAAGUGGAAGCACCUGAAGCUACUUUGUUGAAGGCACAGAAGGUGUGACAAGAAUAUCUUGAGAUUGCAAGUUGCAACUGGGGACUUGGAAGUGGGAGAAUGGUGAGAAAAUAACUUUUCAUAUAAACCCUUGGGGUUUCUUUUCUGGACUUUUCUGUAUAUGAUACUUUCAGUCAUCAGCCAUCUACACUGCCUCAAGGAGAAUUAGAGUGGCAGGAAUAUACAGAGGAAACAAAGCAGUUAAUGUUCCAUCUUGGACUUCAAAAUAAGCUUGUGGAGCCAGCCCCAGAGACCUACUUGCACAGCCAAACUUUCUGUUUGCAAGAGCUGAUUUUGUGGAGAUAAAAAGAGGCUUUUAAGAAGACAAGCACAAUGCCCUGAAGGAGGCAAGGAAUCCAGUUUGUGCCGUAACAACAGACUGCAAGAGAAGACUGGGGGACUCAGACAAUGACCUCCCAGGCAAGACUGGACGAGACUAGGGUGACCACAUAACUUAAUGUCCAAAUGGGUCACUGUUGAGAAUGAAAAGGGGCGUUAUUAUUCAUCAUGCUUGCACCAAAUGAGCAAGUCGGGACACGACCCAGGCCAAUCAGGGACUGUGGCCACCUUAGCCAAGGUGCGCUGGACUGAGAAAGGGGAAGAGGAGCUGGAUGAGGGAGGGAAGUGGCACCUGAGCCUCAUACGGAGGCAAGCAGGAUCAGAAGAAAGAGCCCAACAUCAUCUCUUGCCAGUACCACAGAGCUGUAAGGAACCAGCUAGGACCGGCAGCCCAUUCAUCAACAUGAGAGUAAACCGCACUUGUCACCUGCCUGAUGAGCCACACGGCCCUCCAGGGAGGGCCUUCUGCCUGUAUCUGCCAGCAUAGUACCUGUGCAUCAUCCCGCAGAAGGGAUGCCCAUGCCUCCCAUAGACUUUGCUGAGCCACAUUCAAACGUCCCUACACGGACGCUCUCUUUUUCAAUAGCCCAGGAUAUUCAGAAGCCUCAAGGAGCAGAGAGAGGUGGGUGAGGGAGUCCCCAGCAUCCACAGUUGGGUGGAAUUACAUAGUGUUGUAACCCACCUCCUGUUACAACAGAUUCUAGCUGAAUUUCUUCAGCAAUGGCAAGCAGCAUCUGGGCAGAUGAGGGUGGGAGAUGAGAAGAUACCAGUGCGAAGACCAGGAGGACUGAGAUCUACCAGAAAAAUCUUAAUGCCAGUUUUCCCAGCCCAAAAGAGAAAUACAGCUCAUUUCCCAGAGGUGAACAUAAAACUUGCAUGUUGGUUGUUUUAUUCUGGUAUCAACAUUGUAGGAGUCUUAAUUUGACCUUAAGGGCAUUUCUUAUUAUUAGACCAGUAAGAAUACUGAUGUUCACAAUCACCUACUCUUGUAACUACCAGGAACCUUUUAGAAAACAUUUCUUAGGGUGAAUUAUGUAUUUAUAUGUAAAAUACCAGCAAACAUCCUUACGGCCAUAACUUUUGGAUGUUUUCAAACCAGAUUAUAGCAAGACAAUGUAUUUUAUUCAGCAGAUUUGUUUUAAUCUAAUUAUGUAGGUGAAUAAAAAUUACUGCAUGCUGGUGCA